GACCCGCCGCCCAGCCCGCAGCAUGGAGCCGUCCGAGCGCCUGCGGGGCCGCGCGCCGCCGCCUCUGUUGCUGCCGCUGGCUCUGCUCGCGCUGCUGGGAGGCGGCGGCGGGGCCGCGGCGCUGCCGCCGGGCUGCAAGCACGACGGGCGGCCCCGAGGGGCCGGCAGGGCGGCGGGCGCCGCAGAGGGCAAGGUGGUGUGCAGCAGCCUGGAGCUCGCGCAGGUCCUGCCCCCGGAUACGGUGCCCAACCGCACGGUCACCCUGAUUCUGAGUAACAAUAAAAUAUCCGAGCUGAAGAAUGGCUCAUUUUCUGGGUUAAGUCUUCUUGAAAGAUUGGACCUCCGAAACAAUCUUAUUAGUAGUAUAGAUCCAGGUGCCUUUUGGGGACUGUCAUCGCUAAAAAGAUUGGAUCUGACAAACAAUCGAAUAGGGUGUCUGAAUGCAGACAUAUUCCGAGGACUCACCAAUCUGGUGAGGCUAAACCUUUCAGGGAAUUUGUUUUCAUCAUUAUCUCAAGGAACUUUUGAUUAUCUUGGCUCAUUACGAUCUUUAGAAUUUCAGACUGAGUAUCUGCUGUGUGAUUGUAACAUACUGUGGAUGCAUCGCUGGGUAAAGGAGAGAAACAUCACGGUACGGGACACACGGUGUGUUUAUCCUAAGUCUCUUCAGGCCCAGCCAGUCACAGGUGUGAAGCAGGAGUUGUUGACGUGCGAUCCUCCCCUUGAAUUACCAUCUUUCUACAUGACUCCAUCUCAUCGUCAAGUUGUGUUUGAAGGAGACAGCCUUCCUUUCCAGUGCAUGGCUUCAUAUAUUGAUCAAGACAUGCAAGUGUUAUGGUAUCAGGAUGGGCGAAUAGUCGAAACUGAUGAAUCCCAAGGUAUCUUUGUUGAAAAGAACAUGAUUCACAACUGCUCAUUGAUUGCAAGUGCCCUAACCAUUUCUAAUAUUCAGGCUGGAUCGACUGGAAAUUGGGGCUGUCACGUCCAGUCCAAACGUGGGAACAAUACAAGAACCGUCGAUAUUGUGGUCUUAGAAAGCUCUGCGCAGUACUGUCCUCCGGAGAGGGUGGUAAACAAUAAAGGGGAUUUCAGGUGGCCCAGAACACUGGCAGGCAUUACUGCACAUCUGCAGUGUACGCGGAAUACCCACAGCGGUGGGAUCUAUCCCGGAAACGCACAGGAUGAGAGAAAGGCCUGGCGCAGAUGUGAUCGAGGUGGCUUUUGGGCGGAUGAUGAUUAUUCUCGCUGCCAAUAUGCAAAUGAUGUCACUAGAGUUCUUUAUAUGUUUAAUCAGAUGCCCCUCAAUCUUACCAACGCUGUGGCCACAGCCCGACAAUUAUUGGCUUACACGGUGGAAGCAGCCAACUUUUCUGACAAGAUGGAUGUUAUAUUUGUGGCUGAAAUGAUAGAGAAAUUUGGAAGAUUUACUAAAGAGGAAAAAUCAAAAGAGCUCGGUGAUGUGAUGGUUGACAUUGCAAGUAACAUCAUGUUGGCUGACGAGCGUGUCCUGGGGCUGGCGCAGAGGGAAGCUAAAGCCUGCAGUAGGAUCGUUCAGUGUCUACAGCGUGUCGCCACGUACCGGCUAGCAAACGGAGCUCAUGUUUAUUCAACAUAUUCACCCAAUAUUGCUCUGGAAGCUUAUGUCAUCAAGGCUGCUGGCUUCACUGGGAUGACAUGUACCGUGUUCCAGAAAGUGGCAGCUACUGACCGGACAGGCUUUUCUGACUAUGGGAGGCGGGAUCCAGAUGGAAACCUGGAUAAACAGCUGAGCUUUAAGUGCAACGUUUCAAAUACGUUUUCAAGUCUGGCUCUGAAGAAUACUAUUGUAGAGGCUUCUAUUCAGCUUCCUCCUUCCCUUUUCUCACCAAAGCAAAAAAGAGAAGUCAGACCAAGUGAUGACUCUCUCUAUAAGCUUCAACUCAUCGCAUUCCGCAAUGGAAAGCUUUUUCCAGCCACCGGGAAUUCGACAAAUUUGGCCGAUGAUGGAAAACGGCGUACAGUGGUUACCCCAGUGAUUCUCACCAAAAUAGAUGGUGUGAACAUUGACACCCACCACAUCCCUGUUAAUGUGACCCUGCGUCGAAUUGCGCACGGAGCGGAUCCUGUGGCCGCCCAGUGGGAUUUCGAUUUGCUGAACGGACAAGGAGGCUGGACGUCAGAUGGGUGCCGUAUACUCUGCUCAGAUGAAAAUAUCACUGCCAUUCAGUGCUACUCCCUUAGUAACUAUGCGGUUUUAAUGGAUUUGACGGGAUCUGAACUCUAUACCCAGGCAGCCAAUCUCUUGCACCCUGUGGUCUACACCACGGCUGUCAUUCUUCUCUUCUGCCUCUUAGUGGUCAUCGUCAGUUACAUAUACCAUCACAGUUUGAUUAGAAUCAGUCUCAAAGGCUGGCACAUGCUUGUGAACUUAUGCUUUCAUAUUUUUCUGACAUGUGUGAUCUUUGUGGGAGGAGUAACUCAAACUAGAAAUGCCAGCGUCUGCCAAGCAGUUGGAAUAAUUCUUCAUUAUUCCACCCUUGCUACAGUUCUCUGGGUGGGAGUGACAGCUCGAAAUAUCUACAAACAAGUCACUAGAAAAGCUAAAAGAUGCCAGGAUCCUGAUGAGUUGCCACCUCCACCAAGACCAAUGCUCAGGUUUUACCUGAUCGGUGGCGGUAUACCCGUUAUAGUUUGUGGCAUAACAGCGGCAGCAAACAUCAAGAAUUACGGUAGUCGGCCAAAUGCGCCCUACUGCUGGAUGGCAUGGGAACCCUCCUUGGGAGCCUUCUACGGGCCUGCCAGCUUCAUCACUUUUGUAAACUGUAUGUACUUUCUAAGCAUAUUUAUUCAGUUGAAAAGACACCCUGAGCGCAAAUACGAGCUGAAGGAACCCAGUGAGGAGCAGCAGAGGCUGGCAGCCAACGAAAAUGGCGAAGUAAAUCAUCAGGAUUCCCUGUCUCUCUCCCUCAUUUCGACGUCAGCCCUGGAAAAUGAGCAUACUUUCCAUUCUCAACUUUUGGGAGCCAGCCUUACCUUGCUCUUAUAUGUCGCUUUGUGGAUGUUUGGGGCCUUGGCUGUUUCUUUGUAUUACCCUUUAGACUUGGUUUUUAGCUUCUUUUUUGGAGCCACGUGUUUGAGCCUCAGUGCGUUUAUCGUGGUUCACCAUUGUGUCAACAGGGAGGACGUCCGGCUCGCGUGGAUCAUGACUUGCUGCCCGGGCCGGAGCGCGUACUCGGUCCAGGUCAACGUGCAGCCCCCCAGCUCCAGUGGGCCGAGCGGGGAGGCCCCCAAGUGCACCAACAGCAGCACAGAAUCUUCAUGCACAAACAAGAGUGCAUCGAGCUUCAAAAACUCCUCCCAGGGCUGCAAAUUAACAAACUUGCAGGCUGCUGCAGCUCAGUGCCAUAGCAACUCUCUACCUUUGAAGAACGCCACACCUCAGCUUGACAAUAGUCUGACAGAGCAUUCGAUGGACAAUGAUAUUAAAAUGCAUGUGGCGCCUUUAGAAGUUCCAUUUCGAACAAACGUACACUCAAGCCGCCAUCAUAAAAACAGAAGUAAAGGGCACCGGGCCAGCAGACUCACAGUCCUAAGAGAAUAUGCCUAUGACGUCCCCACGAGCGUGGAAGGCAGCGUGCAGAAUGGCCUGUCGAAAAGCCGGCCGGGCAGUAAUGAAGGACACUCUCGGAGCCGAAGGGCUUACUUAGCCUACAGAGAGAGACAGUACAACCCUCCCCAACAAGAUAGCAGUGAUGCUUGUAGCACACUUCCCAAAAGCAGCAGGAAUUUUGAAAAGCCCGUUUCAACUAGUAGUAAAAAAGAUGCAUUAAGGAAGCCAACUGUAGUUGAACUUGAAAGUCAGCAGAAGUCUUAUGGCCUCAACUUGGCCAUUCAGAACGGACCAAUCAAAAGCACUGGGCAGGAUGGACCCUUGCUGGGUAUGGAUAGCACUGGCAAUGUGAGGACUGGAUUAUGGAAACACGAAACUACUGUGUAGCAUUGGUGGGCUUCCUGGGCAGAAAUCCAUAUAAACUGUGAUACUCACAUUCCUUUAAGCUAUGAACAUGUAAAAACCGACUGUUUACAGCCAACUUAGGGAUUCAAAAGAAUUUUGAAUAAACUUCAACUGAGGCUCAAAGAGUUUCUUACCUGCUGAAGUACCAGCAGGUUAUGCCACAUCCAGGACCAGGUCCAUGUUCUCUGAUGCCACGGCCGCUGUGCUUUGAUUGCUUCUCUGAAGGCAAGCACCCGUGCUCUUCACAGUGUCUAUUAUGUAUAAUUUUACUAAACUUUAUUCUCAUCCUGGUUAUUUUGAGUUUUGUUUUGUUUUAAAUUUCAUUUAUUUAUUUAUUUUUGGCUGCGUUGGGUCUUUGUUGCUGCACGCGGGCUUUCUCCAGUUGCGGAGAUCAGGGGCCACUCUUUGUUGAGUGUGCCAGCCUCCCAUUGCGGUGGCUUCUCUCGUUGCGGAGCACGGGCUCUAGGCGCACAGGCUUCAGCAUUUGUGGCACGCGGGCUCAGUAGUUGUGGUACGUGGCCUCCAGAGAGCAGGCUCAGUAGUUGUAGCUCACGGGCCCAGUUGCUCCGUGGCUUGUGGGAUCUUCCCAGACCAGGGAUCCAACCCAUGUUCCCUGCAUUGGCAGGCGGACUCCUAACCACUGUGCCACUAGGGAAGUCCCUAUUUUGAGUUUUAAUUUCAUAAUGAGAUAUAAUUGGUCAUAUUCUACUUAAGGAAACACACAUGAUUUAUUCCAUGAAAGUUUUUCUUUAAA